AUCUUACUACACAUCUUAAGUAUAUACAAUUUUUCUUUGUCAAUCAUACCGCAAUAAAGCCGAGGGAGAAAAGAUUCAAUUUGUGAGCAAUUACGGGACCAUUCUAAUUUUCUGAAAAGAAAAACAGUAUCUCAUGGGGUUGUUUCUUAUCACUAGAUUCCAGGAUAUGUGUACAGCACUUAGAGCCUACAAGUAGGAAAUACGAUGUCAAUGUUAGCCUUUAUUGGUUUUUUUUAUUUUUUUAUUUUUUUUUUCCUCUCUCAAAUCAUGGGAGCCUUUGUUAUUAUUUUUGCCCUUGGGGAGCCCAUGGUCUGGUAGGGCCCAACCACAUUGUAGGGGCUGUUGGGUUGUUUGCGUUUGUCCUGCCCCUCACUUCCUCCUGGUUUUAUUUCCUUUGGGGACACCACUCUCCCACUCUAAACCCCCAAGGUUUGGGUGGCUGACUCCGCCCCCUGGCAGGCCUACCCAAUCAGUGUAUUCUACCCACCAGGCUGCUGUGAUUGGGUCAGUGCAGGCCACCUGACCCAAGUUGGUCCAAUGAGACUCCGUGUAAGUCCAUUUGGGCCACCACACCCACCCGGGCCUGCAAGGGGAGGAAGCUGACUUAAGAAGGAACUCAACGCAGAGGAAAGCAAAAUGGAGACAUGGAGGGAGACGCCAAGUUCCAGUGACAUUAAGCCCCUGAAUCCCACCAUGGCUGAACUUGCAUUACUGAAGCCCUCCUGAGUUGAAUUUCUGCCUCUUGCAAAUGAAAGAGGCCUGAUGAAUACCCACAUAGUUCAAUUUCAAUAUACGAAGUUCUUCAGACGACGGUCCCUGAGUUACUGAAGCCACUUCACCUGUUUGGGCAGACAGCUGGGAGUGCCCAGAGCUGACACCCUCCAGGUGACCCACAGGUAACGGCUGACCCACGCUGGAGUGUAGGAGCCUUGCUUCAAGACCACACAGACUUUGAGGUUGGCUGAUUGUGGAGGCUAAAGCAACUCUACCUUGCCAGCUUAUCCACCAUGUGGACUUCUAAUUAAUCUCAGUUGCCGGAAUGCCUCUAAGAUUUCUACGUUAUCUACUGUGAAGAGCAAGUAAUUACUGCAAAUCCUGCCCUUGGGUCAAAACAACCUUGAUGACAUAUUCCUUCUGAAGCACAUAUACUCUUUCCCUAGCUGCCUGCCCUGCAGACUUCAGGCUCCAGCAUCAGACACAGAGACCCAGCGUUAUGGAGACUGUCUAACCAGAUCUCACAAUUGUGGAAGAUCCCAACUCCUACAGAAAUCUCUUAAAAACCACGUGUGGCUGGGCACAGUGGCUCAUGUAUGUAAUUCCAGCACUUUGGGAGGCUGA
rnacentral:lncRNA from 1 species